UUCGCCACCAAGGGGAGUCCCGGCAAGGGGCUGAGAGUUCGCUGGCGUCCCGGAAUGGGCGGCGCGAUGACCCUUAGAACCUGAUCCGGAUCAUGCCGGCGAAGGGAUGGGAGAGAUGCGCCUG
rnacentral:ncRNA from 1 species